rnacentral:rRNA from 1 species
UACGAAGGGGGCUAGCGUUGCUCGGAAUUACUGGGCGUAAAGCGCACGUAGGCGGCUUUCUAAGUCGGGGGGUGAAAUCCUGGAGCUCAACUCCAGAACUGCCUUCGAUACUGGAGAGCUUGAGUCCGGGAGAGGUGAGUGGAACUGCGAGUGUAGAGGUGAAAUUCGUAGAAUAUUCGCAAGAACACCAGUGGCGAAAGGCG